UGGAGGCAGCAGUGGGGAAUAUUGGACAAUGGGCGCAAGCCUGAUCCAGCCAUGCCGCGUGAGUGAUGAAGGCCUUAGGGUUGUAAAGCUCUUUUAGCAGGGAAGAUAAUGACGGUACCUGCAGAAAAAGCCCCGGCUAACUUCGUGCCAGCAGCCGCGGUAAUACGAAGGGGGCUAGCGUUGCUCGGAAUUACUGGGCGUAAAGCGCACGUAGGCGGCUUCUUAAGUCGGGGGUGAAAUCCUGGAGCUCAACUCCAGAACUGCCUUCGAUACUGGGAAGCUCGAGUUCGGGAGAGGUGAGUGGAACUGCGAGUGUAGAGGUGAAAUUCGUAGAUAUUCGCAAGAACACCAGUGGCGAAGGCGGCUCACUGGCCCGAUACUGACGCUGAGGUGCGAAAGCGUGGGGAGCAAACAGGAUUAGAUACCCCGGUAGG
rnacentral:rRNA from 1 species